GGGAAAUGAGGCACCCCAGGUUCUAGGCACACACGCCGAGGAUAAAUAGGGGCCUCGACGUCCGUGAGCCUCACGGCGUUGCUCGCUGUCUUACUGAAGUCUCUGACGGAAAGCGAGCACGGCAACGACGCCGUCAGGACAAAGAAGAUGGCGCGCGUCUAGGCUCUCGCUGGGGAAAUAAAGAGAGAGAUGGGCCUCGGGAGGGAGAAAGAGGCCCAUGCUGGCGCUUGAUAGAGGAAGAGAAACCCACUGUGGUUUCUUAUUUAAAACCAAC
rnacentral:lncRNA from 1 species